AGAGACAGCAGCCGCCGCGGUAACACGGAGGGAGCUAGCGUUGUUCGGAAUUACUGGGCGUAAAGCGCACGUAGGCGGCUUUGUAAGUUAGAGGUGUAAGCCUGGAGCUCAACUCCAGAACUGCCUUUAAGACUGCAUCGCUUGAAUCCAGGAGAGGUGAGUGGAGUUCCGAGUGUAGAGGUGAAAUUCGUAGAUAUUCGGAAGAACACCAGUGGCGAAGGCGGCUCACUGGACUGGUAUUGACGCUGAGGUGCGAAAGCGUGGGGAGCAAACAGGAUUAGAUACCCCCGUAGUCCCUGUCUCUUAUAC
rnacentral:rRNA from 1 species